rnacentral:rRNA from 1 species
AACGAACGCUGGCGGCAGGCUUAACACAUGCAAGUCGAGCGCCCCGCAAGGGGAGCGGCAGACGGGUGAGUAACGCGUGGAAAUCUACCCAUCUCUACGGAAUAACGCAUGGAAACGUGUGCUAAUACCGUAUACGUCCUUCGGGAGAAAGAUUUAUCGGAGAUGGAUGAGCCCGCGUUGGAUUAGCUAGUUGGUGGGGUAAAGGCCUACCAAGGCGACGAUCCAUAGCUGGUCUGAGAGGAUGAUCAGCCACACUGGGACUGAGACACGGCCCAGACUCCUACGGGAGGCAGCAGUGGGGAAUAUUGGACAAUGGGCGCAAGCCUGAUCCAGCUAUGCCGCGUGGGUGAUGAAGGCCCUAGGGUUGUAAAGCUCUUUCACCGGUGAAGAUAACGACGGUAACCGGAGAAGAAGCCCCGGCUAACUUCGUGCCAGUCGCCGCCGUAAUAC